rnacentral:sRNA from 12 species
AAUCGGCGUACAGCAGUGGGGACGUGUCCCCGAAGUGGUGCCGAGGGGAGCAAGCCACAGCACCAGCACCAGAAAAGGUGGAAAGCUGAAAAAUCACGCGUCGGGUGGAGUUUGGUAGGUCACUUGUGAUUCGAAGAAGUCAGACCCG